CAAAUCAAAACCACAAUCAGCUAUAAACUCCCAUUCUUUAGGAUGCCUAUUACUAAAAAUAAAAUAGAAAAUAACAAGUGUUAGGAAGAAUGUAGAGAAAUGGGAAACCCUCUAUACUGUCGUUGGGAAUGUAAAAUAGUACAGCUGCUAUAGAAAGAAGUAUGACAGUUCCUCAAAAAUUAAAAAUAGGAUUACCAUAUGAUCCAGAAAUUUCAGUUCUGGGUAUAUAUUCAAAAGAAUGGAAAGCAAAGUCUUGAAGAGAUACUUGUACAUCUAUUUGUUCCAGAAUUAUUCACAAUAUCCAGGAGGGGGAAGCAACCCAAAUGUCCAUCAAAGAAGAAAUGGUUCAACAAAAUAUAGUAUGUGCAUACAAUGGAUUAUCAGCUUUAAAAAGGAUGAAAAUUCUGACACAAACUACAACAUGAUGGAGUGAAGUAUUCGCCCUCUGUCUUCCAAAUUCCAAGAAACAGAUGUAAAACUCCCCAGGUGAUCUCUGAAGAAUUUAUCAUUUGUCUGGGAGUGGUAUAACCAUAACAUCACUGCAACAGUUCUCAGUUUAAAGAAAUCCUUUCUCUUCAAACUUCGAUUAUCACUUCACUUUUACCUACCCAUGUAUUCCAGACCUGAAAAGAAGGUAAACCAUGGGAGAAAAAAGUUGUUUGAUAAUCUCAAAACACUGCAGGUACAGAACCUAUUCUGCUAAGGGUAAUUGCUGACAGUCUAAAAGGACAAAAUGCAACAGCUUAAUGCACAACUUUGCUAAUUAAUAUGUGCCUGUGAGUGAUGUCGUUUAUUAUUUUAAUAGUUGUUAUGAUUAUUUCUUUUUCUUUUGUUCUUUAUUUUAUUAGAAUUUUAUCUUCUUUCUUUUUUAGAUUAAGCUUUUUUCUCAUUAGGUUUUUUUUUAAUUUUUAAUUUUGUUAACUACUUUUGUUGGUUUUGUUCCCAAUUUCAGUGACUUUUGUUCAUUUAUUUGUUAUUUUUAAUUUCCUGUGUUUACUCUGUUGCUCUUAUUCUGCCGUUUUGAGUUCAGCUAAUGUUUUCUUUUUCAGUGUUCUUUGUGUUUGGUUUAAUGUACUCAAAGACAUCAAUUUCUAAAUUCUACUUUUGUUAACAGUGGCAAGUAUCUGAGUCUCAUGACAUUAAAUAUGUUACCAGUUGAAGGUAUUUGAGUUAUGGGUGGCAAAUCCAUACGGGUCUGCGACAACAUCUAUUCUUUGCUCCUCAGGAGAAGGAAUUCAACUGAGAGGCUUAAGGCAGUAAAAGAAACUUAGGCAAGUUUCAGAGCAGGAGUGAAAGUUUAUUAAACAGCUUUAGAACAGAAAAGAAAGUAUGCUUGGAAGAGUCCCAUGCUGGCAGUUUGAAGAACAAGUGUAAUGCUUAAUCUCGAUCCCAGGACGUUAUAGACUGGCCUCUUUCUCAUGAUUCUUCCCUUAGUGGGGGCUGCCCCUGUGCAGUGCCUUCCUUACCCUUGGGAAGUGAGCACGUUCAGUGUGUUUAGGAAGCUGUACACAUGCCCACAUGAGGCUUUCUUCCCUUUUCCAGUAGUGCCCCCAUAAGGCUAUACUCUGCCAUUUUGUCUCUUAAUGCAUAUAUUCAGGAAGUUGUAUCUCCCUGGCCUCUGCAUUCAAUCAACAGUUUAGUGCAACAGGUAUGGAGCAUCAGAAAAUGUCCUCUCCCUGGUGCGGGCUGCCAAUUUAUCACUUUAAGGGAGGCAAUGUGAUAGUUGCCAAACCACUACCUGACAUUCUUAGUGGGUGGGGGAAGAGCCCUCUCCUAUCCACUCAUUCAUGUGUAAUUACCUGUAACACUUGGAGUCUUACACAUAUCAGUAUGUAGUGUUUUUGCUUCAUUCAAUACUUCAUAAUUUCCUAUGAGUUCCUCUUUAAUAAAAGAUAUAUUUAUCAUAGGUUUCAAAUAUAAGGAAUUUUUUUAAAGCUGUCCUUUUUUAUGAAUUCCUCACUUUGUUGAAUUCUGCUCAAAGAAUAUAGUCAUAAUGUAAUGUCAAUUCUUCAGGAUUUAUUAAUGCUUCUAUUGUGGCCUUGUCUAUGGUAUCUUGCAUGAAUUGACUAAAAGAAUAUUUAUUGUUGUUGUUGGAUAUACAUUUCUACAUAUAGUUAAUAUGGUUUUAAUGUGUUACCUAAAUGUAAUAUAUUAAUAGGUUUUUCUUCUAGAUCUCUCAAACCACAGUUUUUGAUAUACCUGUUUUUCCUGAGCAUUGUUGUGUUACAUGUGUUAGGGCUGUGUUACUGAAACUCCAGGGGUUUGGUCUAGAUCCUGCUCCUGACUACAUAGAAAGCCAAUCACUGGGGCAAUGAGUAUUGCCAGGAAAGAAGGCUUUAUUUGGUUGUUGUAGUCCAGCAGAUAGGAGACUGGUCUAAAUCCAUCUCCUCAACUAACUAAAAUUAGAGAUUUACAUAAUGUACAAUAAAUGUAACGAUAUGUGAGAAAACAGGCAUUAGGGAAUAGUAAGGAAGAGGAGUUGGUGGGUUGGAUAGGCAAUCAUGAAGGAUGAGGGCUCUGGUGUCUUAUUGUUCAGAUGCAAUUGUCUGGUAAGUUUGAGUCCCUUGACAUUAUCUGGGAGGACUGAUGGUUGGUUUCCUGAGAAAGGAAGUCAUAUAAGACAAAUGUAACAUUCUCAGCUUUGAGACUGGGAGGGGCAAUUUCUAUGUUUAUUCAAAAUAAACCAUAACUUCAUUUGUAUGGUACAACUGGGCCCAUGUAAGCUGC
rnacentral:lncRNA from 1 species